rnacentral:rRNA from 1 species
GACGAAGGCUGCAAGCGUUAUCCGGAUUCCUUGGGUUUAAAGGGCGCGUCGGUGGCCUGAUAAGUCAGUGGUGAAAUCUCGAGGCUUAACCUCGAAAUUGCCAUUGAUACUGUUAGGCUUGAGUAUAGUUGCCGUUGGCGGAAUAUGACAUGUAGUGGUGAAAUACAUAGAGAUGUCAUAGAACACCGAUUGCGAAGGCAGCUAACGAAACUAUAACUGACACUGAGGCUCGAAAGUGCGGGGAUCAAACAGG